GCCGAGCGUCUGCUGCGCCGCACCACACCACGCCGACAGGAGGAUCCCGCCGCGGUCCGGAGGGGAAGGCACACAUGACCUGGAGGCUGGAGCUGGCGAGUGCGUGCAGUCGUCAGUGGGCAGCGGGCGGGUCGCGGCUCCCGGCUCCCAAUCAGCAGCAGACAUCACAUUUCCCUCCCGGGCGGCCGAUGCAGUCUACUGAGUCUGAGUGGCUGACUGCAGCAGAUUUCCUCCUGUUUCCAGAACUAAUUAUAAGAAUUACAGAUUGUACUCCAAAAUUUGCAGCUACUGUGUACUGCUGAGUAUCAUCAGGAAUAAAACAAUGAUGAACCAGCCGCAGCAACUGGGAGAGGACUGAUGAUUGGAUGACCCUGGUUAACGGCAGACUCCUCUCCAGUCGAAAGAGACAGUGAUAAUGCAUCGGCUUUACGAUUCUUGUAGCCUGAAUGAAAUGUCCCUUGAUGGAGAGUCUGUCACAACAGAAACCACUCGGUUCUCUCUUUUUCAAGGAUACAGUCUCGAAAAUUGAGAUCAAAUCUGGUGCACACAGAGAUUGAACUGUCAAGUGAGUUAAAUCAAAAGGAGGACAAGUGAACGAACAAGGGAGGAAUUGUGAAGUUUACCUCCACAUACUACAGCGCUGGUGAAGAGGUACUCUAAGUAUUGUGUGUAUCUGUAUUGCGGAGGAGGUAGGAGAAGGCUCUUGCGGUGGAGGUAGGAGAAGCCGGACUAGCUGCUGUGCGCAUUUUAGGAACUUUUAACAUUGUAUUUUACCUUCCUACCUCUAUGACUGUUUGUUAUUACCCAGUUUUCUUUUAUCAUUGUGCCCAGUUGUAAAGCGUAAUGGAAUUUGCUGAACUAUAUAAGAAACUGUUCAUAAAUAAAA